rnacentral:rRNA from 1 species
UAGAGCAAAUCACAAAACUACGGCCUCAGUUCAGAUUGCAGGCUGCAACUCGCCUGCAUGAAGUUGGAAUUGCUAGUAAUCGCGAAUCAGAAUGUCGCGGUGAAUACGUUCCCGGGCCUUGUACACACCGCCCGUCACACCAUGAGAGUCGAUAACACCCGAAGCCUGUGAGCUAACCGUAAGGAGGCAGCAGUCGAAGGUGGGGUUGAUGAUUGGGGUGAAGUCGUAACAAGGUAUC